GCCGCCAUUUUUAAUCUGGCCCGCUAGUUUUCGGCUAAUAUCUCCGUGAAAACAGCACCUAAACACAUAAACAAUGUAGCGUUCUUUUCAGCUAGAUUAUUCGUUUACAAAGAGCUAAACAAACAACGGAUACGACGGAUUUCGCCGCGGGUUAUCGUCGCGUCCAGGCCGAGCCAGAGGCCUGCUUUCAACGCCUAACACAAAGGAUUGUUUGUUUAGGGAGAAGCAGGAAGUACACCCUCUGGCCUCACUGCAGAAAGGCGUGAGAUCUCUUCCUGGGCAUCUGAGAACGUGAAAGAAAACAGAAAGCAUAUGCAGAGAUUGGACUUGAUUUUUAGACAAGAAAAAAAUAUACCUUAAAUGUCUUUAACACACACAAACACACACAUUUGUUUUUGUGAAAAGUGGGUUCAUCCCAUAGGCGUAAUGGGUUUUAUACUGUACAAACUGUAUAUUCUAUGGCCCUACACCAAACAUGAUGAUGACAGGUAGCCAAAGAGAAUCAGCCUGAUGAGAUAUGCAUAUAUAGAGAGACAUAUAUAGACGUGCAAUAUUUAUUAUUUGUGCUGAUGUCAUUGCCAUUUAGCUCAAAAUAAGCACUUUAAUUUAAUAGUUUUAGAGUGUGUGUGUACACUCAGCCCGACCGACCCAGCCCUUAGAGCCAAUCCUUAUCCCGAAGUUACGGAUCUGACUUGCCGACUUUCCUUACGCAGCCUUGUUCUAACACGCCAGAGGCUGUUCACCUUGGAGACCUGCUGGGGAUAUGGUUACGGCCCGGCGCGAGACUUGCACCUUCUUCCCCGGAUUUUCAAGGGCUGACGAGAGCUCACCGGACGCCACCGGAACAGCGGCGCUUUCCAGGGCGUGGGCCCCUCUCUCGGGACGAACCCAUUCCAGGGUGCCCGGCCCUUCACAAAGAAAAGAGAACUCUUCCCGGGGCCCCCGCCAGCUUCUCCGGGUUCGUUUGCAUUACCCAAGGGGCAAGGAACUCGACCGGAAGUUGAAGUCUGGUGGGGGCUGCCAUCUUUUAGCAGAACUUCACUUGCGUUAGCAUUCCCAUUGACUCCCAUUCAUUUUGGCGUCACUUUGACAGCGAAUAACUUUACAUCUGAGGUGUUUAAAGACUCUGUUUGUCCAUUAUUUAUUUCUAAAGAUACACGACAAUGUAUAAAGGGCUCCAUUACCUUCUAUGUUACAUUAUGGCCCCGUAUAAACAGUUUUUGUAAAAAAUAGGCUAACGAUUGCGUCAUAACCACUCGGCUCUCUGUCGCAUUACCGUACAGACAGGUGGAGAAGCUCGCAGGCAAUUAACUUAAUAUGGCGUACUGGCGUUACAUUUUAAAAUACUAUACAAAAUAAUUAAUCAGAAUACUUACUCCUGCUCACUCACGACAAAGAACUCCCCGCUCAAGCUCGCCGUCUCUGCAAGAUUAACGAUGGCAGUUUGCACACACAGCUACUAGAAGAUUUACAUCUGUCAGACAGGUUGCUGACGUCGUCAAGCUUCGUUUGAGUCUGCGCGUCAGAAACGGAAGUGCUAAAAAACGCUAAAACUGGGCUUCAUUUGUCUCAAUUGAGUUCCAAUGGGGUCGCUGUGUCCAUUUCUUUUACUGUCUAUGGCAUUACCGCACUGGGCGCCUCGCGGCGCCCGUCUCCACCACUCCGGGCUCUGGGAUCUGAACCAGACUCCCUUUCGAUCGGCCGGCCCUUCCGAACGGCGUUCGCCCAUCCCUUAGGAACGACUGACCCAUGUUCAACUGCUGUUGACAUGGAACCCUUCUCCACUUCGGCCUUCAAAGCUCUCGUUUGAAUAUUUGCUACUACCACCAAGAUCUGCACCCGCAACGGCUCCACCCGGGCCCACGCCCUGGGCUUCCGCGCCACCGCGGCGGCCCUCCUACUCGUCGAGGCGUAUCCCUUGAUACAUUUGCUUGCCGUCGACGGCCGGGUAUGGGCCCGACGCUCCAGCGCCAUCCAUUUUCAGGGCUAGUUGAUUCGGCAGGUGAGUUGUUACACACUCCUUAGCGGAUUCCGACUUCCAUGGCCACCGUGCUGCUGUCUAUAUCAACCAACACCUUUUCUGGGGUCUGAUGAGCGUCGGCAUCGGGCGCUUUAACCCAGCGUUCGGUUCAUCCCGCAGCGCCAGUUCUGCUUACCAAAAGUGGCCCACUAGGCGUCUCGCAUUCCACGCCCAGGCUCCAAGCCAGCGAGCCGGGCUUCUUACCCAUUUAAAGUUUGAGAAUAGGUUGAGAUCGUUUCGGCCCCAAGGCCUCUAGUCAUUCACUUUACCGGAUAAAACUGCUUGUUCGAGCGAGCGCCAGCUAUCCUGAGGGAAACUUCGGAGGGAACCAGCUACUAGAUGGUUCGAUUAGUCUUUCGCCCCUAUACCCAGGUCGGACGACCGAUUUGCACGUCAGGACCGCUGCGGGCCUCCACCAGGGUUUCCCCUGGCUUCGCCCUGCCCAGGCAUAGUUAAAUUUUAUACUGGGGCUAAUAGUUUGUAAAACAUGUUUGUGAUUGUUUUUUUUGCAAAGUAUGUACAUUAACCUUUUUUUGUAUAUUUGUCAUUUAUAAUCUUUAACAGCAGGAAGUACACCCUCUGGCCUAACUGCAGAAAGGCGUGAGAUCUCUUCCUGGGCAUCUGAGAACUGGAAAUGAUUAGGAUGGGCUUGGUUGUGAGGAACCUACCUCCAUUUCUUCCUGAAGUCUGUUCCUCAGAGCUCCUCGAGAUGCUGACAGCAAGUCACAUUUUGAGCCAGAAACGGAGCCUGCAUCUGGAAAGUGGUCUGAAUCUUUAACAGCAGGAAGUACACCCUCUGGCCUCACUGCAGGAAGGCGUGAGAUCUCUUCAGGCCUGUAUGCUGGGGUCACAGGUCAGACCUCUUAAAGGAUGCAGAGUGGCUGAGCACCAGUGACAGAGUGGGUGACAGAGCAGUGGCCGGCGUACAAAGGGAUAUACAAACUGAUGACUGCCAACUAACAUUGAUUUACAUUUAAUAACUCUUUGGUCUUUUUUCAUAGUACUUGGAGCUGUAUUUCUCAACAAUCAGGCCUGAGAUAAGUGCCUAUACAGAUUCAUGUGCAUGUGUACCAUAUAUCUGUUAAAUAAAGAAAUAAAAAAAACCUUUAGGA